AAUGGUGCUCCAGGGUUGUAC
rnacentral:miRNA from 1 species